UACAGAGACCUCAAGCGUUAUCCGGAAUCAUUGGGCGUAAAGCGUGCCGAUAGGUGGUCAUACAAGUCUUGGGGAAAAGCCAGAAGCUCAACUUCUGAGUUUGCUUAAGAUACUGUAAGACUUGAGGGGCAAAGAGGUGCUUGGAACGAAUGGUGUAGUAGUGAAAUGCGUUGAUAUCAUUCGGAACACCGAAAGCGAAGGCAGAGCACUGGGUGCCACCUGACACUGCUAGGACGAAAGCGUGGGGAGCGAAUGGG
rnacentral:rRNA from 1 species